rnacentral:tRNA from 1 species
GAGGGUAUAGCUCAGUGGUAGAGCGUGUGCUUAGCAUGCACGAGGUCCUGGGUUCAAUCCCCAGCACCUCCA